UGGGAUGAAGCAGAGCGUUUCUCAGCAAAAGGAGAGUUGGAUAAAGUGCUGGGCUGCCUCUGUGUAGCUCAGAACCACAGAGCACGUGGGUUUGUACCUACAAGCAGGCCUGUUCCUCACUAACCCACCCAUGUGGGAAAUGCUUGCCACUAAACACCAACUCCUGCCUCAGCCCACUUAGAGGAGUGAGGAGCUGCCAAUAACAGCUGGGUGUUUGUUCUGCCUGUCCUCGGUGCAUGCCUCUACUCCACAAGGUCUGGCUUCUUGGCAUCCUGCAUGCUUGGAUCUCACAGCACUCUGUCAAAUGCCCCCACAGGGAUUUACAGUGGUUGGAAGGAAACAUUUCAACCCAGGCAGACCUCGCUCUGCACCUGUCCAGUCCCCUUUUCCCUCUGCUGACGUUUCUGACAUUGUGGGGUGAAAAUCUGGGUGUUGGUGGAAGCAGAGGUUAGGAUCUACUGGGAGCAAGCUGCAGGUGCUGUGCCAGCCCAAAGGGUUCCUCCUGCAAGGCUGCGUUUUGCAGCUGGGAGGUGGGGACCCUGGGCUUAAUCUCAUGCCAUAACAAAGGGUGUUCUGGCACUCUUCUGAAGCCUGAUGCUGUGGCAGGGCAAAGUAGAGUGGUGAGCUAAGCUAGGGAAGAAAGAGCAGAGCCUGUGGAGCAAACACCAUGUGCUGAGACCGACAGGGGGAUAAAGAGGCUCUUAGAUAAGAGGUUGCUGUUAAUGGCAUCAAAAGCUUGUGUUGUCUCUGCAGGUUUUCUGAUGAGUCUUUUUCUAGUGAUUCCCUUCAGAACAGCCACCAGCCAAAUUUUAGUACAUUCUCAUCACAUGCAAAACAGUGACAAACAAGGAAAGAGAUCAGUGGGAUGUUUUCCAGUUGUUGCUGGAGCCCACCUCUAUAUACUCUGAAACAAGUCUCCCAAGAAGGAAGCAAAAUCCCAGAGAGGAAGCAGCUUGUUUUGGGGUCUGCUCUUGUUCCUAACAGCAAUGCCACUGUUCCUGCGUGUGGUCUCGAGCCGUUCCCAAGACAUUGCAAGCUGUGUGAAGUGCCUGGUAGCAAGCCUGCAGCAGUGCUGUGGCAGAAGCUGCUCAUAAUGCUUCAGCUGCACUCUGCUCUCUGAAAAGAAAGAAGAAUCAGAGUAGGCAGAACAGCUCCGCAGGAAGGGGGGGGAUGAGCACAGCCCCUGGGAUUUGUGUUCCUGGGGCUCAGAGCUGAUAAAGCCAGCAAUUAUCUUCCCUCUGGCUGUGUCUGGAUGAGGUGUCUAUAUGGUUUUGGAUGUUCAGUGCCCACUGCUGUCAGGUGCUCGGAACCAGCGUCCCCAGGGCUCAUGGUGGGGAAGCUUGUUACUUCCAAAGCCAGGGUCCCAGGGGAUGGCUUUUCACUGUGCCCAAUAAGUAACUCUUGAGAAGAAGCUGCAGUUCCCUCAUUGUAAGAAGUAAAUGUUCUGUGAAUUCCACUCUAAGCGUUUCUUUCUGACCUUUAUGCCAGCUUCUGUCAUGACACAAAGCCUUUGCUUCAGCACAGCGAAGGUGCAUCAGUACAUCCCCAGCCCAUGUUGACUUUUAUGAGCAAGGCAGCAUGAAAGGCUGAGCUGGAAAAAAAAAAAAGUGCAUGAGAGGAAAUAGAAGAUAAAAGAGGACGCCACUGCAAGGCCUGAAACCAAGGGGAUGGGAGAAGGGAAUCGUUUGUGAGGCCAAAGCAGUGAAGUCAGAUGUAUGCAAGGGUGGUUAACCUGCUGUGCUCCUGCUGGGUGGAGGUGGGGUGUGCACCUUCCACCUUCUUCUCCAUCUCUGGUGUCACCUGGGUUUCCUGUGCUCCUCUCUGUGCUGGCUAGAGGAAGUAAGUGUGGAGACCCUGCCAAGAGUGGGUGGAAUUGUCAAGGCAACAGCUGAACUGAGCUUCUCUUUCAAACCAAGUCUUCUGGCACAGUUACCCUCCGUUGCCUCGCAGCCUCUUGCCAGAUCAGCCAGACUCAGGUCCCUGCCCUGUCUGCCCUCCGUGGGAUAGCACUGUAACAGCUCUGCUAGCUGAGGGCUUGAGCAGUGCGUUGCCUUGUUAGCUGAGGGGGCUUGCACCUUUUGGGGCCUGAGCACGGUAUGUUUGAUCUCUGGAGAGAUGUCACUCAGCGUGGCUGUGUCAGUCUGAAUUCACACACAACCUGGUGCAGGUGGUGGAUGUCACAGCACCUCAGCCACCAUCCUCCACCUGGAGGGAAAGGCAGAGUCCUGUUUUGUGUGGAGAAGGAGUGUCUGUGGUGGGAGGAAGAGUUAAAUUCUCUCCCUUCCCCCCCUUGAACAAUGAAGGACUGGGAUGGGAAGGCUGGAGCACAAAGACUAAUCAUGACGCUGAAAAUACCUUUAUCUCUCCAGCGCUGCUGCAGGGUAACACCCCAGGCUCUUAAGAUGAAGAAACUACUGUACUUGACUUCCUAAUCCUGGUUGUGUGGCCAUAGCAACAAACCACUUAACCACUGCAGCAGCAGUAGAGGAAAAGUGGUUGCUUGUAAAAUGCCAGCAGGCACCCCUCAGGCAAUUCACAUAAACAGUCCAGCCGUGUGCUGGCAGGCAGGGGAGCUCAGCAGGGGACGGGAAGGGAAAGCAAGCUGAGAGACGAGCAGCUCCUGGGCACAGGAGCCAGGGUGUCCAAGGGAAAGAGUCCCAAAUACCAGGGGAGCUGGUAGGAGCUCACCGGUCCGAGUCCUGCUCUCAUCCAGAGGUCGCAGGUACCUGCACGACCUGGGUGAUUCUCAUCAGGCCAAAGCAAACUGGAAUGCCAGACCCGCAGCAGGCUGUCUUCCCAGCUUAUCCCAGUGCCACGGUAAAAUCACAUCUGCUGAGGGCAAACAUGCGUGAAAAUACUGCACAGAGUAUUUGCAGGGUAGGACACGGUGCAUCUUGUUCUACAAACCGACAGCUCCCGAGUACAGCUGAUAGAUUGUGCUGGCUCUAACUCCCUGCGUGUGAGUGAGCAGUGUCACAUGCAAACACGGGGUAUGGUCUGCAAGCCACUAAUGGUCUGCGCAUCCCAUGACACUGCAGAAAACCCCUGUAUCUGUGUCAGGGAUUUAGUGCGUGUGCACACACCGCUAAUGUGGAUUAGCAGACGGAUAAUCUUUGAUUGAAUGUGCUUUUGCUAAGUCGAUUAAACAAAACCCAAAGUA